CUGACUCUAAGCUGGUACUUCUACGUCAGGGAAGGUUUUAAGCAUUACAGGCAUCUCUGAUUAUGGGGGUUUUGCCAAGAGGAGAUAAUAGGGAAAAGAUGAAGAUGCUGGGCAACUUUCUGGCUCUUCUCAAGUCAGGGACAGAAGUAAAGCCACACACCUACAACCAACUGAUCUUCAACAAAGAUGAAAAAAAUAAACAAUGGAGAAAGGACACCCGAUUCAAAAAACGAUGCUGGGAAAACCAGGUAACCAUAUGCAGAAGAAUGAAACUGGAUCACUACCUCUCACCAUAUAAAAAUUAAUUCAAAAUGGAUUAAAGACUUAAAUGUAAGACCUCAAACUAUAAAAAUCCUAGAAGAAAACCUACGAAAUACUCUCCUGGGCAUUGGCCUAAGCAAAUAAUUUAUGACUGAGACCUCAAAAGCAAAUGCAACACAAACGAAAAUUGACUAUUGGAACCUAAUUAACUGAAGAGCUUCUGCACAGCAAAAGAAAAACAAAAACAAAACUAUCAACAGAGUAAACCUACAGAAUAGGAGAAAAUAUUUGUAAACUAUGCAUCUGACAGUGGACUAGUAUCCAGAAUCUGUAAGAAACUUUAACAAAUCAGCAAGAAAAAAAAACAAAUAGCCCCAUUAAAAAGUGGGCAAAGGACACAAACAGACAUUUCUCAAAAGAAGACGUAUAAGUGGCCAACAAACAUGAAAAAAUGCUCAGCAUUGUUAAUCAUCGGAGAAAUGCAAAUCAAAACAAGAUACUGUCUCAUACCAGUCAGAAUGGCUAUUAUUAAAAAGUCAAAAAAAUAACAGAUGUUGGCAAGGUUGCAGAGAAAGGGGAAUACUCUGUUGAUGAUAUUGUAAAUUAGUGCAGUGGUUUAUUCUAUCUUCUCUUGUACAUUGUGUCAUUUGUGAGAAGUUUUUAACUUUCCUUAAUCUUCCCUUCCACAGUUUCGUGCAGGAAAAUGAGCCAUUUCCUAAAAUCACCCCUUCAGCACCACACGUUUUAAAGUCUGUUUUCUAUGAUCUAGAGUGUAUAUACGAUUAUGCUUAAGUCUUCCUGACUGACAAACGUGAUGCCAAAACGUUU
rnacentral:lncRNA from 1 species